rnacentral:rRNA from 1 species
CUACGGGUGGCUGCAGUGGGGAAUAUUGCACAAUGGGCGCAAGCCUGAUGCAGCCAUGCCGCGUGUAUGAAGAAGGCCUUCGGGUUGUAAAGUACUUUCAGCGGGGAGGAAGGGAGUAAAGUUAAUACCUUUGCUCAUUGACGUUACCCGCAGAAGAAGCACCGGCUAACUCCGUGCCAGCAGCCGCGGUAAUACGGAGGGUGCAAGCGUUAAUCGGAAUUACUGGGCGUAAAGCGCACGCAGGCGGUUUGUUAAGUCAGAUGUGAAAUCCCCGGGCUCAACCUGGGAACUGCAGCUGAUACUGGCGAGCUUGAGUCUCGUAGAGGGGGGUAGAAUUCCAGGUGUAGCGGUGAAAUGCGUAGAGAUCUGGAGGAAUACCGGUGGCGAAGGCGGCCCCCUGGACGAAGACUGACGCUCAGGUGCGAAAGCGUGGGGAGCAAACAGGAUUAGAUACCCCAGUAGUC